UCAGCUAUCCAGCAUGGCCAUGAUGAAUUGGGAUCGAGUGCUACUUGCUAGAUACUCUCGGCUGCCGUCACCACCGCCCCACCAUGCCGCCUCUCGGUUGGCCAGAGCCUGGAGGGUAUCAACGGUGCUAGUGAGCACCCUUCCCCCUCCCCCAUCCUCCCUUCCUCAAGACAUGUGAAUCCCCAUUACCCGAUCCGCCUCCUCAUUACAAGUUUUGCUUUGCCUCACCACCAACGGCGCCCUGCCGCCCUUUUACAUCCCUGAGGCUUCGGCACCAUCGCCGACGCCUUGCCACCCGCCCAUAUCCAUCACCCGCCGCUGGGCCGUCGCCUCCCACGGUCAUCGCUCUAAGCCUAGCCCCUAUCUCCCUCCCUCACCCCAACCCGAGACCCUAAACCCUAACUCAUCGUCAGAAUUGGAGGAGUUGCAGAGGUCGCCGAUGCACAAAACGUGAAGCAAUCAUAAGGUCAGAAAUUUACAAGAUUUUCUGUAAAAUGCUAUUUAGCAAUUCCUUUUUUAAUAGAUAAACGACGAGACAAUGGAGAAAGCUGGCGAUAGAGAAAACUCUUCACAUGAGCCGAACCUACUGUAAGAUCCACUUGUAAGUAAUAGUUCAGUUGAUUUAUUUUAGUCAAGUGAUGUAUAAUAACACAAUCCACCCCCUACAAUCAUUCUCCCAUGUGUCAACAAACAACUAAAAAAAACCCAAACCCUGCAUGCAAGAUCACGGGAAAAAGCGUAACAUCAUUACAAUUUACAGCUUGGAUGUAGUAAUUUCAGAUGCAGCUAGCAAGUAGGGCACAGGUUCAUCCAGUUUACUCACCACCGAAUGGGCAUCAUGGCAAAGGCGAUCAAAUAGUGUCACAGGUCAACAGGAGCACAGCCCAGGCCUCAGUCACAGGAAUCAUGAGCCACUGAGCAAGCAUGCAAAUGUGCACUGAAAAUCUGAAACUUCUGAAGCCUGAAGCUGCAUGCCACUCGAUGCCAAAGAGGCCAAGUGACUGGAGGAUUCAUCGGUAGCAUGGAUAGGGUGGAUGUGAAGGAAGAAAGAGAGUAGAAGAAGAAAAGAUGAACAAAAAUUUGCUCAUUUGCAUGGCAAAGAUCACACGAAGCACACAGGAGGCUUGCCCUUGCUGAGAAGAAAAAGGCCCUUUCUUUUUCUUCUUUCUGAAGAUCUGAAGAAUUUUCAGUCAUGUGAGGCAAAUAACUAGUAGCUAGCCAAUUGGUUUCAGUUCAGUGUUCAUGCAUCAUGCAUGCCCAGGUCACUGUGAUUUCUGAAGCUGUAGCGAACUGAAGAUCAAAACAUUCCAUCAGAGAGCAGAAAUGAGUCCAGCUCGUCAUGAUUUUGCACUGUCACAGUCGAUUCUUCUUGUUGGAUUCUAUGAGCCCAUACAAGCUGGGGUUCUCCCCUCUUCCACAUGACUGCAACUGUAGACAUGCAGAAUAUUAGUGAUAAAAUCAAUAAUUGUUUCUUCCAAUUGCAA